rnacentral:rRNA from 1 species
UACAGAGGUCCCGAGCGUUGUUCGGAUUCAUUGGGCGUAAAGGGUGCGUAGGCGGCGGGGCAAGUCUGAUGUGAAAUCCCGGGGCUCAACCCCGGAACUGCAUUGGAUACUGCCUUGCUAGAGUACUGGAGAGGGAACUGGAAUUUACGGUGUAGCAGUGAAAUGCGUAGAUAUCGUAAGGAAGGCCAGUGGCGAAGGCGAGUUCCUGGACAGUUACUGACGCUGAGGCACGAAGGCCAGGGGAGCAAACGGG